rfam:Botryotinia fuckeliana BcDW1 unplaced genomic scaffold Scaffold_77, whole genome shotgun sequence.
UGUGAUGAUGAUCAGUUUAUGCUUUUGCAUGCUGGAAAUUACCGACUGAAGUCCUCGGGCUUUUGACGACAAAAAAGGCUGUUACUGAGC